GCCUUCGUGCCUGAAUGGAAUAAGGGGACGGUCUGCAAAACCGUUUUGUGCAGGUUCGAGUCCUGUCGAAGGCUCCA
rnacentral:tRNA from 1 species